rfam:Zootermopsis nevadensis contig14548, whole genome shotgun sequence.
GCCACGGUCGUCUAGCGGUUAGAACGCUGGCCUUGUAAUCCUGGGGUCCCGGGUUAAAUUCCCGGUGGUGCUC